rnacentral:lncRNA from 1 species
AAGAAUGAAGAACUGAAAUUUUUGCCCAUUGUUGUACACUAUUCGCAGAAACCAGCCAGUACAUAUAAAGGUAUGUUAACUACAAAUAUAACUUUGCGGGUUCAACGUGUAUUUCUUGGACAUUCGUGAAUUCAAAUUGUUUGAGAAUUUUUUUUUUUUUUUUUUUUUUCCCCUGGCGAAAGGAGCUCAGCUUGGUGAACUGCUGGACGGAAAUUAGUUCAGGAAAAAUGGGUGUAUAGAAUUUCAUAUAAGAUUAGUUCUAUAAGAGGAAAAUAAUUCAGGUAAAUGAUAAUUAUCCAUCAGGAAAUAAAUUUGAACGGGGCAAAGAAGUGAUCUUUAGCUCUAUAAUUAUGACAGAUUUCGAAAUUCUUUUUGGGCAUUCUACGAAGGGAAUCGACCACCAACAAUAAAGGUGAAGUUAGUAAUCUAACAAUUCAAUUAAGUUCCAAAAUUGAGAACUAAUGCACAUACCCAAGAAAUAUAGUUUCACUUCACCAGUACAUUUUGAAAUUGGAUAACAAAAUUAAUCACAACUUAUUAAACACAAUACAACCCCCACUAAAAUCUAUCAAAUAAUCCAUUUCAACCACCAACAAUAAAAGUGAAGUCGCUAGUCCACCAAUUCAAUAUAGUUCCAAAAUUUACCACUACUGCAAAUACCCAAAAAAUAUAGUUAAAACACAAUUCAAUAAAGUCAAUAAUCCAUAAUUCAUUAUAGUUUCGAAAUUGAAGAACACAAGUAGUAAGAACUGAUUAAAUACUAAAAAUUCCCUAAUAAUCUGUCGAAAAUCCAAGUCAACGCAUGACAUCUCGAAGGAAAACCACCUUCUAAUGAAAUAAACAGCAUACUACUUAAGCAAAGUUGAAAAAAGAUUGACUUAUUUCUUGGGGGCCGGUACAAUAAACACACCUACUGUUGAGACGAUGGCUAUAAUUUAUCGGGAACAUGUUGCAAGGUCUGUUGGUUUAACAAUGACUGCAGUCGGAGAUGGUGAGGGCUUCAACAAUGAUCAGAUAUGGUAGGUCGACUGAUAGCGAAACCUUUAAUGAAAGUGGGCAUGGCGUUACCACGGCUAGAAGUAUGGCCGGAGAUGGGGGAGUUGUGCUUAGGGUUUGGAAGUUGGGGCUCUCGCUUCGGCUUUGGUUUGUGGAGGGAGAGAAUAUAAUUUCUUUUUUCUUUUUUCUUUUUGGUUUUUACUGGGCCUUUUGCGUACCAUACAUUAAAAAUUCCACAUUCCAAAAUCAGAUGAAAAAUUUUACUAUUUAAAAAUCAGAAAACUUUAAUUUUCUCACUUAUUUUUU